rnacentral:rRNA from 1 species
UAAUGCUUAGGAAUCUGCCCAGUAGUGGGGGACAACAGUCGGAAACGGCUGCUAAUACCGCAUACGCCCUACGGGGGAAAGCAGGGGAUCUUCGGACCUUGCGCUAUUGGAUGAGCCUAAGUCGGAUUAGCUAGUUGGUAGGGUAAAGGCCUACCAAGGCGACGAUCCGUAGCUGGUCUGAGAGGAUGAUCAGCCACAUCGGGACUGAGACACGGCCCGAACUCCUACGGGAGGCAGCAGUGGGGAAUAUUGGACAAUGGGGGCAACCCUGAUCCAGCCAUGCCGCGUGUGUGAAGAAGGCUUUCGGGUUGUAAAGCACUUUCAGCGAGGAGGAAGGCCUUAAAGUUAAUACCUUUAAGGAUUGACGUUACUCGCAGAAGAAGCACCGGCUAACUCCGUGCCAGCAGCCGCGGUAAUACGGAGGGUGCAAGCGUUAAUCGGAAUUACUGGGCGUAAAGCGCGCGUAGGUGGUUUGGUAAGCGAGAUGUGAAAGCCCCGGGCUUAACCUGGGAACGGCAUUUCGAACUGUCAGACUAGAGUGUGGUAGAGGGUAGUGGAAUUUCCUG